rnacentral:rRNA from 1 species
UGGGGAAUCUUCCGCAAUGGACGAAAGUCUGACGGAGCAACGCCACGUGAGUGAAGAAGGUUUUCGGAUCGUAAAACUCUGUCUUUUGGGGCGAACGUGAGUAUGGUGAACAAUCAUAGUCAGUGACGGUACCAAAGGAGGAAGCCACGGCUAACUACGUGCCAGCAGCCGCGGUAAUACGUAGGUGGCAAGCGUUGUCCGGAAUUAUUGGGCGUAAAGAGCGCGUAGGCGGGAUAGCCAGUCUGUUGUAAAAGUGCGGGGCUCAACCCCGUGAUCGCAAUGGAAACAGCUAUUCUUGAGUGCAGGAGAGGAAAGUGGAAUUCCCAGUGUAGCGGUGAAAUGCGUAGAUAUUGGGAGGAACACCAGUGGCGAAGGCGACUUUCUGGACUGUGUCUGACGCUGAGGCGCGAAAGCCAGGGGAGCGAACGGGAUUAGAUACCCCGGUAGUCCUGGCCGUAAACGAUGGGUACUAGGUGUGGGAGGUAUCGACCCCUUCCGUGCCGGAGUUAACGCAAAUAAGUACCCCGCCUGGGGAGUACGGUCGCAAGACUGAAACUCAAAGGAAUUGACGGGGUCAUAGCUGUUUCCUG